CGGAAGGGCGGUGCUCGAGCUGUGGUGCGUGCCGCUAAGUUGUGCGUUCCAGGGUGCACUCGCCGGCGAGGCUGCACGGCGCCGGUUUCAUUGCUAAAAUCCGACGGACUUGUUGCAGAACUCGUUUUUUUUGUCGGGAAAGGGCUUCCCCGUGUAACUUUACAGCAGUUAUCGUAGAUAAGACUUGCAAAUUACAGAUGUGGACGGUGAGGGAACGGGAAUUUCACUGAAAGCGCCUGAGAACCAGCUGGACAAUGGAGGAGGCUUGAAACAGUAGCUGGCAAGUGGUAGAAGAGAUGGAGCAGAGAAGCAAGAAGAAGCAGACUCCUCACUCCUUCACCAGGGUGGAUUUGCUGGUUUGAAGCAGACCUGAGUUGGGAGAGGAGAGAGGCGAGAAGUUUUAAUUGGAUGAAAUAUUUCUUUAGACUGGUCUAUACUUUUUUCUUUAUAUCUAAAAUUCACUGGAAGAGCUAUGAAAUCUGUCCAAGAUUUCGUUCAGUUCAGGAAAAACCAAAACCAAAACCAUAACCAGUGAGUUUAUAAAGGAAGUUUAUGGUGGAUUUUUUAAAAUUAUUUUGAUAACUGACAUUGGGGUAUUCUCCAUCUUAUGAGUCUGAAAAUAUUUCUUCGCAGCCAGGUAAUACACAUGUGACUCAGAUGCCACCAAAGAAGUAUGUGUCCAAGACCUCAAGUUGAAAGCUGUGGACUGCGGAGGGACUCUCUGGUGAAGUUGUUGCAAGCAUGAUUAAUUCAUUGGGGCAGCAAUGGCAGCCAAGCCAGUGGUGGUAUCCUGUGUCCAGGAGUGGUAUUGGUGAUUCAGUUUGCAGCCUCUGAGGUACAAGGAUAAGGAAAAUGGUGACCAGAUCAGUUUUGCUGCCUCAGAUUAGACAUAAUUUCAAGCUGUAUAUCUCUAAUCCUCCUAAUAAUUCUAUGACCUACAUGAUAUCCUUUAAAUAAAUGACUUAUCAUUUAAAAUAAUUCCG
rnacentral:lncRNA from 1 species